AAGAGUUGAUCCUGGCUCAGGACGAACGCUGGCGGCGUGCCUAAUACAUGCAAGUCGAGCGCAGGAAAUCGACGGAACCCUUCGGGGGGAAGUCGACGGAAUGAGCGGCGGACGGGUGAGUAACACGUAAAGAACCUGCCCUCAGGUCUGGGAUAACCACGAGAAAUCGGGGCUAAUACCGGAUGGGUCAUCGGACCGCAUGGUCCGAAAAGGCGCUUCGGCGUCGCCUGGGGAUGGCUUUGCGGUGCAUUAGCUAGUUGGUGGGGUAAUGGCCCACCAAGGCGACGAUGCGUAGCCGACCUGAGAGGGUGAUCGGCCACACUGGGACUGAGACACGGCCCAGACUCCUACGGGAGGCAGCAGUAGGGAAUCUUCCGCAAUGGACGAAAGUCUGACGGAGCAAUGCCGCGUGAGUGACGAAGGUUUUCGGAUCGUAAAACUCUGUUGUAAGGGAAGAACAAGUACCAAGUAACUACUGGUACCUUGACGGUACCUUACCAGAAAGCCACGGCUAACUACGUGCCAGCAGCCGCGGUAAUACGUAGGUGGGCGUAAAGCGCGCGCAGGCGGUCCCUUAAGUCUGAUGUGAAAGCCCACGGCUCAACCGUGGAGGGUCAUUGGAAACUGGGGGACUUGAGUGCAGAAGAGGAAAGUGGAAUUCCAUGUGUAGCGGUGAAAUGCGUAGAGAUGUGGAGGAACACCAGUGGCGAAGGCGACUUUCUGGUCUGUAACUGACGCUGAGGCGCGAAAGCGUGGGGAGCAAACAGGAUUAGAUACCCUGGUAGUCCACGCCGUAAACGAUGAGUGCUAAGUGUAGCAGCCGCAAGGUUUCGGUGCCGCAGUUAACGCAUUAAGGGCUCCGCCUGGGGAGUACGCACGCAAGUGUGGAACUCAAAGGAAUUGACGGGGACCCGCACAAGCAGCGGAGCAUGUGGUUUAAUUCGAAGCAACGCGAAGAACCUUACCAGGUCUUGACAUCCUUCUGACCGAUCCUUAGCCGGAUCUUCCCUGGGGCAGAAGAGACAGGUGGUGCAUGGUUGUCGUCAGCUCGUGUCGUGAGAUGUUGGGUUAAGUCCCGCAACGAGCGCAGCACUUGCCUUUAGUUGCCAUCAUUAAGUUGGGCACUCUAGAGGGACUGCCGAUGAUAAAUCGGAGGAAGGUGGGGAUGACGUCAAAUCAUCAUGCCCUUUAUGUCCUGGGCUACACACGUGCUACAA
rnacentral:rRNA from 1 species